rnacentral:lncRNA from 1 species
CGUCUUGAGUGAUCCUUUUGCAAAGCAACCGACAAAAUUUGGAGGUAGGUACACUUUAAAGUUUUGUUUAUAGUCUGUCCAAGGACAAAGAAAUGGAUGGACCUGGCCAUCACCAAAAGCCAAUUGGACUGAAGCCUAGGAGAUCCUGUCAUUAGAGAAGUGCCAGCAUGGUAGAGGACUUUUUAAACAUACAGAUUCUGCAAGGCCCAUUGUCUCCUCUUAAGAGUCAUUUCAAUGAAGACCAACAGCCCCGUGCUGGGUGCUGGUGUGUCCCAGAAGACUAAGAUGGAAUCUUUGUCUUUGAGAAUCCAUAGUGUUUCUGGAAAAGAGCCACCCAUACCAUUAGCUAGAUUAUAAACAGUGUAGUCUGGCCGUGCGGAUGAGAGAAAGAAGUGGCACUGACUGCUGGGACACCCGGGGCCUUGGGCUCUAUUUAUCCAGCCAGAACAUUCUAAUGCAGGGCG